UAGCUCUUUAACAAUUUGGAAAGCUGACAAAUAACGAUUUGAUUAAUCGUUAUUUAUUAAAAGUUCUCAAAUCCUGUGUCUCUUAGAGAUGUAGGUACCAAUACACAUUCAAGUGUUCUUGGGAAUCUUACUUUUUAAGUAAGUAUUCAUAUUUGAGUCCGGCAAAAUCGAAAUGUCUCUCGCUCAUUCAAAUAAUGAGAGACAACUAAACCUUGGUUGUUUGCCAUACAUAAAGACCUCUUGGGGUUGUA
rnacentral:misc_RNA from 1 species